rnacentral:lncRNA from 1 species
UUGGGAUGAGCUUAAUUGUAUGUGAUGAAGAGGUUCAAGUUUGGGGUUGUACGGGGAAAAAUUGAAAAAGCAAGUAAAAGGCAUUGAGCUCAAAUGUUGUGAAAAGAAAAAAAUUCAUGAGAAAAAGAAAAGGAAAAGAAAAGAAGAAAAACAUGAAGAUGAGCUCAAUGAAAAAGAAAAGAAAAAGGGGAAGAAGUUGGGAAUGAGAGACAUUGGUGAGAGAGUUGUGCUUAAUUGUUGAAUAUUGUGAUAGCUCUCUUGACUCAAGGAUUUUGCAUUCUAGAAAAACCAAUUCUUUCUUGUUAGCCCAACCUCAUUACAAGCCUUAGAAAAGUCCUUUUGAUGACAUUUGCAUGUAAAGAUGUUGAUUGUUUGAGAUGAAUGGCAAUUUUGUUUCAUGUGACUUGUGAAUAAUUGAGAGUAGGAGUGUCACCUUAAACACUUGAGUGAUUGAGUGAAACAGUUGCUUGGUAUGAUUUGUUAAUUUUCAUGAGUACCUUUUUGCU